UAAGCUUAACCUUUUCUCCCUGGUGGAGGAACCACUUGCAUGAGAAUAAGAGGUUGUUCCCCAGAAAGCCAUGUUGGUUCACCACAUGUAUCGCAUCCUGAUAAUGUGAAGUGAAAAAGUAGAGCCUGGAAGCCUUUGUAAGAUGACUGUGCCAGAGGAGGAAGAUAAAUAUCUCGAUGCUAUGGAGGCCUGUCAGCUCUUUGAAGUAUCUGGG
rnacentral:lncRNA from 1 species